rnacentral:rRNA from 1 species
AUUGAACGCUGGCGGCAUGCCUUACACAUGCAAGUCGAACGGCAGCACGGGAGCAAUCCUGGUGCGAGUGGCGAACGGGUGAGUAAUACAUCGGAACGUACCUGGUAGUGGGGGAUAGCCCGGCGAAAGCCGGAUUAAUACCGCAUACGACCUGAGGGUGAAAGCGGGGGAUCGCAAGACCUCGCGCUAUUGGAGCGGCCGAUGGCAGAUUAGGUAGUUGGUGGGGUAAAGGCCUACCAAGCCUGCGAUCUGUAGCUGGUUUGAGAGGACGACCAGCCACACUGGGACUGAGACACGGCCCAGACACCUACGGGUGGCAGCAGUCGAGAAUUUUUGACAAUGGGGGAAACCCUGAUCGAGCGACGCCGCGUGGAGGAUGAAGGUCUUCGGAUUGUAAACUCCUGUCAUUGGGGAACAAGGUGCAUACGUUAACUGCGUGAGCAUUGAUAGUACCCGAAGAGGAAGAGACGGCUAACUCUGUGCCAGCAGCCGCAGUAAAAC